AAAAAUUUAGUUAAUAUCAUAUAACAUUAACUUGUCAAGUUAAAAUAAUCUAAAAGAUAAUUUUUA
rnacentral:tRNA from 1 species